AUACAGAGGGUGCAAGCGUUAAUCGGAAUUACUGGGCGUAAAGCGCGCGUAGGUGGUUAGUUAAGUUGGAUGUGAAAGCCCUGGGCUCAACCUGGGAAUGGCAUUCAAAACUGGCUGACUAGAGUAUGGUAGAGGGAAGGGGACUUCCAGGUGUAGCGGUGAAAUGCGUAGAUAUCUGGAGGAACAUCAGUGGCGAAGGCGCCUUCCUGGACUAAUACUGACACUGAGGUGCGAAAGCGUGGGUAGCAAACAGGAUUAGAUACCCCGGUAGUCC
rnacentral:rRNA from 1 species